CUAAAUCCUAUCUUUCACACUUCACAAAAAUAAAUCCAAAGUAGAUCAAAGACCUAGGAAUUAAACCAGAAAUUUUGCAACUGCUAGAAGAAGACACAGGCUCAUUACCCCAACCUAUUGGCACAGGCAUUAACUUCCUUAACAAGACUCCUACUGCUAAAUAAAUAAAACCAAUAAUCAAUAAGUGAGAUGCUAUCAAAUUAAAAAGCUUCUUCAGAGCAAAUGGAACAAUUAAGGGCAUGAAGAGAGAGCCUACACAAUGGAAAAAAAUUUUUUCCAGCUACUACUUCAAUAGGAGAUUAAUAUCCAGAAUAUAUAAAGAACUAAAAAACUUACACACACACACACACACACACACACACACACACAAAGCAAUAAUUGGUCAAAAGAACUAAACAGACAUUUCUCAAAAAAAGGGAACAAAAAUAACCAACAAAUAUAUGAAAAAAAAUUUUCAGCAUACCUAACAAUCAGAGAAAUGCAAAUUAAGUAUGACUGCACAUAUGGGGCAAUGCUCCAUCAUGUACAACCAGAGAAAUGAAAAGUUGUGCUCCAUGUGUGUACAAUGAAUCAAAAUGCAUUUAUUUGUGGGGGAAAAGGUGCACUCUACACGUGUACAUUGUUGGUAGACUGCAAAUUUGCAUCACCACUUUGGAAAGCAGUAUGGAGAUUACUGAAGACUAGGAAUGGAGCCACCAUAGGACUCGUCUAUCUCACUCCUUGAUAUUUGUUUCCGUCAGCUUCUUUGCUGGUGUGACCAAAGGACCUGCCACCAACAAUUUUAGAGGAGGAUAAAUUUAUUUAGGGCUCACGGUUUCAGAGGUCUCAGUCCAAAGAUGGCUUACUUUACUCCUUGGGGCCUAAGGUUGAGCAGAAAACCAUGGUGGAAAUGUGUGGCAAAGGAAAGCUGCUUAGGACAUCACACUAGGAAGCAGGAAGAGAAAGAGAGAGAGGGAGGGAGAAAGAGGGAAAGAGGGAGAGAGGCAGAGACUGAUCCUCUCACCAUGGACAAAAUAUAAAACCCAAAGGCACAGCCCCAAUGACCCACCUCCUCCACCACAUCUUAGUUGCCUGUAGUCACCACCCAGUUAAUC
rnacentral:lncRNA from 1 species